rnacentral:tRNA from 21 species
GAUGUAGCCAAGUGGAUCAAGGCAGUG